GUAGAAAGAGGGAAGUGCUCAAACCAUUGUACAGAACACUGGUGAGACCUCACUUGGAGUAUUGUACGCGGUACUGGAGACCGUAUCUUCAGAAGGAUAUUGAUACUUUAGAGAGAGUUCAGAGAAGGGCUACUAAACUGGUUCAUGGAUUCCAGGAUGAAACUUACCAGGAAAGGUUAAAGGAUCUUAACGUGUAUAGAUUGGAGGAAAGAUGAGACGGGGGAUAUGAUAGAAACAUUUAAAUACAUAAAGGGAAUCAACACAGUAAAGGAGGAAACUAUAUUUAAAAGAAGAAAAAC
rnacentral:lncRNA from 1 species